CUGGAAGAUCUUGGAAGAUUGUCAAAAUAGGCAAAUUAGUGCGAUUGUCUAAUUUAAUCAACGACUUUAAUAGGCCACACAUGCAAUUAAUUUAAAAUAGUCAGAGAAAGGGAACACACAGCCUACACAUGGUAAAAUGGAGGAGACUCUUUAGAAAUUGUUUAAGACGCCUGAUUGAAGCACAAAGUGGUCGAACAUUUUCACACGAGGCCCUAUUGUUUCUACAUCACUGAUUACUAAGUGGAAAUUGAAAUUCUCACACCCAGAGGUUUUCAUGCAGGCGGGUAUAUAAAGGAUAUCAAUGACACAUCUUGAGAUGUUUUAAUAGAUGUGCACACUGCUGGAAAUCUGUGUGUUCAAUUGUAUAUAAAUUAACUUAGAAAAGGGGAUAUUACUGUGUGAUAAAGGCUUUGUAAUGUGGUUUAAUCACCUAGUUGAUGACCCAAUUGGUUGCAUAUGUCACAAUGUUUGUAAUUAAUGUUAAUGAAUUAAGUAAUGAAGUAAUUAGGCAAGUCGGUUUGGUAAAUCGCUUGUGUAACGUUGUUUAGGAGGGAAAAGGCAGUUUGUCUCCAAGUCUGACUCCGUUUGUCUUUGUUAAAUGAAAGUAUGACUGGAUGAAACGCAGGCAGUGUGUGAAUUUUAUUGAUGUGUUUGUUUAUUUAUUGAUGUAUUGUUUGUUUUGUUUUGUUUUUGUUUGUGGCUUGGACUUCAGGCCCCGCUGGCUGGAUUAUCAUUUGUAUUUUUUCUCCAGGAUUUAGGAAAUAAGGACAGAUUUUAUAAAAAAAAAUUUAAAAAAUCCUCCAGAUGAACCAGCGGUUGAAAAAAAGGAAAAUGAUUUCUGGAAUAGUCCGAAAGCAUGCAAAAUACCGACGUCCCAAAACCCGUUUAUAAAUUCUGGAAAUGCUGAAAAGAAAGUUAAUGAGUUUGGGGGUCGGGACUCACCUCC